rnacentral:rRNA from 1 species
AGCCAUGCAAGUCUAAGUUUAAGCACCUAAACGGCGAAACUGCGAAUGGCUCAUUAAAUCAGUUAUCGUAUAUUUGAUAGUACCUACUACAUGGAUAACCGUGGUAAUUCUAGAGCUAAUACAUGCUUAAAAUCCCGACUUCGGAAGGGAUGUAUUUAUUAGAUUAAAAACCAAUGCCCUUCGGGGCUCACUGGUGAUUCAUAAUAACUUCUCGAAUCGCAUGGCCUUGUGCCGGCGAUGGUUCAUUCAAAUUUCUGCCCUAUCAACUUUCGACGGCUGGGUCUUGGCCAGCCGUGGUUACAACGGGUAACGGAGGGUUAGGGCUUGACCCCGGAGAAGGAGCCUGAGAAACGGCUACUACAUCCAAGGAAGGCAGCAGGCGCGCAAAUUACCCAAUCCCGAUACGGGGAGGUAGUGACAAUAAAUACUGAUACAGGGCUCUUUUGGGUCUUGUAAUUGGAAUGAGUACAAUUUAAAUCCCUUAACGAGGAACAAUUGGAGGGCAAGUCUGGUGCCAGCAGCCGCGGUAAUUCCAGCUCCAAUAGCGUAUAUUAAAGUUGUUGCAGUUAAAAAGCUCGUAGUUGAACCUUGGGCCUGGCUGGCCGGUCUGCCUCACCGCAUGCACUGGUCCGGCCGGGCCUUUCCCUCUGGGGAGCCGCAUGCCCUUCACUGGGUGUGUCGGGGAACCAGGACUUUUACUGUGAAAAAAUUAGAGUGUUCAAAGCAGGCCUAUGCUCGAAUACAUUAGCAUGGAAUAAUAGAAUAGGACGUUGCGGUUCUAUUUUGUUGGUUUCUAGGACCGCCGUAAUGAUUAAUAGGGACAGUCGGGGGCAUCAGUAUUCAAUCGUCAGAGGUGAAAUUCUUGGAUCGAUUGAAGACUAACUACUGCGAAAGCAUUUGCCAAGGAUGUUUUCAUUAAUCAGGAACGAAAGUUAGGGGAUCGAAAACGAUCAGAUACCGUUGUAGUCUUAACCAUAAACUAUGCCGACUAGGGAUCGGGCGAUGUUUUUCUUUGACUCGCUCGGCACCUUACACGA